UGCCCCUGCCCCUGCCCACGGGGUGACCUUCCCGGAGCGUCUCCCGUCCUCCUGAAAACCAGGGGCGGAUCUCACCCCUGACCCCUCCAGGAAGCUGGAGCUCAGCACCGAAGGGGCCACAGAGGACAGGGGGACAGGCCUCAAGGUCAAGGGCGCCUGGACAAUGUCAGUCUCUACGGGCGCUGGCCACUGAGGCUCGGACCAGGCGGAUGUCCUUCCACAAGGUCCUUCUCCACGGGAUGGCCCUGGAACACGGAGGGAGACAGAUUUAAAGAAGGGGUCAGCGAGCCAUCCCCGAAGCUCCUGUUGGGGGAGACCCUCCCCUCAGCGGAGGCAGAACGGGCCAUGGGGGUUGGUUGCUGGAGUCGGCAUGAGGAGUGGGCAACGGGGACAGGCUCGGGCGUUUGGAGGUUGGUUUUUGAUCUCAGUCUUCCUGGGUGGGGUUCCCAGGCAGGUAACGAUAUGAAUACGCUAGAGGUGGCGCUGAUGAUGUCACCCUGGGCCAAGUGACAUGCCCAAGGUCACAGAGCUGGUGCCUGGCAGAAUCAGAAAUGGCACCACGGUGUCAGCCACCACAACCCACCUUCCUGACCAUCCUGGGGGGUUAUGGGCCUCGGCCCCUGUCUCAGAAGGGAGGGACUGGAGGCUUGACCUCCCCACUGUGAUCUUUCACCUGAUGGUCCAGAUGGCCCCACCCGGAAGCUCUGAGAGAGGGCCACUCCCCUAACCUGGACAACCAGCAUCUAUCCUCGACCACAAUCUCUGUCCCCAGGCACAAAAUGGAUGAGCCAGGGACAGAUCUGUGACCCAAAUGGGGACAAGGAAACUCAGAUCUAGGCUUUUUUUUUUUUUUUUUUUUAAUGGAAUGCUCAGGAAAGAAGUGUUCUCAAUUCCUGUUUGAACCCCUGGAUCCAGCCAUGCCUGAUGCCUGUGUAUAUUGGGAUUUUUUUUUUCACUUAUAUAAAUGUUCAUUGUUGUGGCAGGUGCUGAUGGUCACCUGUCAGCAUCCACUUUCCUUCUUAUCAACGGGAUCCUGGUUUGUUUGAAGCAGUAUCCAAUUGCAAGAGCUUUCCAAACAGUCUUGUAGCUCUAAGUGGCCACAUCCCCUGGUUCUGGGCGCUGAGUUUCUUGGAGAAAAUGUCAUUUCCAAAGAAAAGGACAAGGCCCUAGGAGAAAGCUCUGAGCCUUUGCCUCUCCACUGGUUUCCUGCCUGGAUUGCAAAUGCAGUGUUUAUCAUCGGAUUCCUCGCUCUCUGUGGAGAGGAAACUGCGCGGGCUUAUUUAAGGCAUUGUACCCGUAUUUCCAUUACAUGGGCCAAGCACAGGACGGAACAGGGUGUCCGUAUUUGCAACCAAAAAUCCCUGCCUGACACACUCUGUCUAAGGCACGCGAGAGGAAGAAAAUGGCAGGAUUGGGAGAAAUGGCUUGGACUUCUCUAUUUUCUCCAAGAUGAUCACCGUCUGGUUCUCGCAUCUCUAUUAUCCAGCAAAGAUAGCAAUCUGGAAGGACCAUAAAUUGUAAGUAGAUGGGGAAGAAAAUUGGCCUUUAGCAAGGACUGGCUCCAGGCAAUAUUUCAAAAGAGAAGGUGGGAAGGGGUGUGGAAGGGAUCUGUCACGUCUCCAUCCACGCCAGGUGUGAGGGCCUGCCGGCUAAGACACUUCCGGCACAACUGCUGGCCAAGGACCUGCCCUCUGCAGGGUGCUGGCCACUUUGUUUGAUUAGUCAGGGCCUCCGUGCCGGCGAGGGCCCAAGGGCCUGGGAAACAGGGACUCAAGACAUGUGAGGAGCCCUGGAUGUCACAGCAUGAAAAUGAUGGAGGAUCACCACCCAAGGCUGAUGGUCCUCACCCACUAUUCCAGGGCCAGGUGAUGGAGCCUGUUCUGACUGCAGAGCCGGAUGACGCCGCCGCAGUCCCAGGAGAACCUGGGACCGAGCUGGUGGCACUGAGAUGGGGUGCUCAGAAGGUGACCUAUUGGCUUCAGAGGUGCCCCCUAGAGAUAUCCUAGCAGCUGGGACUCCACAAGAGACCCAGGCGAGAAUCUCAGAAUCUCAGCAGAGAGUCUCAGAACACUAGCUCCAGAGACACGUAGAAUCACAUUAUUCUUGAAACUCCAGUGUACACGUCUUGGUAUUUUAGAAUUCCGUAAUGUUAGACCCAGGGACUCUACAAUUCCAGCCUUACAGGAACUUAGGACCAUAGAAUCUUAGAAUUGGAGAAAUCUUUUUUUAAAAAAAUUAUUAUAUUUACUUACUUUUAUGCAGAGCUAAGGAUGGAACCUAGUGCCUCACACAUGUUAGGCAAGCACUCGACCACUGAGAGACCACUGAGCAACCACCACCCCAGCCCAGAACUGGAGAAGUCUUUAAAAACUGGACACCCAAAGUCUAACAGCUCUCCAUUUAUAGAAUCUAAGGAUCCUAAAAUGUGAGAAAAUGUAAUGAGUAAAACAUUAGAAUUUAAAAACUGUAGGAUAUGAAGCUAAUUAGUUUUAUAAAUGUCAGAUUUAGGGGAUAACAUAUAUCUUUAAAGUUUAAGAAUUACAUAAAAUCAUGGAACCACGGAGUUUUAGAAUGUCAAAUCAUGAAAUCUCGGGAGAAAGGUAGAGUAUAUGGGACUUACUGAAUUUUAAAAUAUUAGAAUCACAGACUUUUAAAACCCUAAGGUGUUCGAGUCUUGGGGACCUUAGAGCUUAUCCUGGCUCAACAUCUUCCAAAGGCAGCAGCUGCUACUCUGGAAAUCCUGACUCUCAGCAUCUCUACCACCAGGCUGGCACAGGGUAGGUGUCAGUAGACACAAGCAAAUAAGAAUUCUUAAAAAGUGGAAUCAUGGGGCUGGGGGUGUGGCUCAAGUGGUAGCACACUCACCUUGCAUGCGUGAGGCACUGGGUUCGAUUCUCGGCACCACCUAAAAAUAAAAUAAAGAUAUUGUGCCCACCGAAAUAACUAAAUAAUAAAUAUUUUUUUUAAAAAAUUUUUUUAAAAGUGGAGUCACUAAGAGGAGAACAGAACAAUACAGAGUGUAGCUUCCAAGUGUUAAAGGGUCAUGAUCUCAAUCAAUCUAACAGAGAAAGCAGAGGAGGAGGGGGAAGAUAAACAGAAAAUAAAAAGCAGCAUAGUAAUCAAACACACACACAAAGAGACACUAAUACACACACACACACUAAUUAAGUAUGGCAAUCAAAAUUAAAAAAUAAAAUGAAAAAAAUAAUUUCAACUAUGUUACAAUAAAUGUAAAUGGUUAAAAUCUGUUUAUUAAAAGAUCAAGAUUCUCAGGUCAGAUAAAGUACAGACUUGGUUAUCUGUUGUUUACAAGAAAUGACAGAAAAAGUUAAAACUAGCAAGGUGGGCAUGGUGGUACACACCUGUAAUCCAGUCUUUGGGAAGCUGAAGUAGGAGGAUUGCUUGAGCCCAGGAGUGUGAGGCCAAUCUGAACAACACAGUGAGACCGCAUCUAAAAAGCAAUAAAUAUGUUACAUUCCACAGCCACAGGGAUUUUGUGGAUGUGAUUAAAACAUGUCUUUAAGAUAGAGAGGUGAUUCUGACUUAUACAGGUGGUGGAUAUGGCAUGAUCACAUGACAAAUUAAAAGCAGAGAACUUUCUCUAGCUGGAGUCAAGGAGAUGUGGCUGAAGGAGAAGUCAUGUUGGAAGCACAAAAAUAACUCUGCUUGCCUUUGGUGGAGGGGGCCACGUGGAAAGCAUGAGAAGGGCCUGGGGCAGCCUCCGAGGACAGAGAUGAACUCCUCACCGACAGACUGCAGGGAGGUGGGGGCCUCGUUCCUAUGCCUGCGAGGAACCGACUUUAGUCAGCAACACAAAAGAGCUGGUACGUGGGUCCUUCCUCAGAGCCUCCAUCAGGAAAUCCAGCUCUGAUGACACCUGGCCUUUGGUCUGGGGGACCAGCCAAGGCCAUCUGAAAUGAUGACCCACGGAACUUCAAGAGAAUAAAUGGGUCAUUUUCAUCCGGUAAGUUGACGGCAACUUGACAUUAGAAAAUGACCAGAGUGCCAUCCAGCAUUGUUAGGAAGUUCUCCUUCCGGGACUGAGAUUUGCCUCCUCGACACUGGCCUCCUGUGAUCCUACCUCUGCACUCUUGGGCCCCCCAUGACCCUACUCACUCCCUCACCCACUGGGAGCUUUUCUGAAGAUUUUAAGUCAAUUAUCACAGCCCUCCUGGGACCUUCCCCUCCCAUAGGCCACCAUCCCUGGCUGUUUAUAGGACUCAGUUUCCAAAUCGGAGGCUCCCAAACUCACCCUCUUGGUGGCCUGGUCAAGAACAGUGACUCCCGUGACCCCCAGGUCGAAGGCCCCUGGUGCCCCAGUUUGGUGAUGAAGAGCUCAUCCUGGAUGCUGUCUCAGCUCCACCUUCCGCUCCUCUCCCACCCCAGCUCCUGCUGGGGGCUCUGAGGAAGGACCCUCAUUGCCUCUCCCAAGGAGUCGAUGGUUUUCAUGCAGCAUCUGGGACACAGGAAGCUCUCCAAAUACUUGCUGAGGGCAUGGCAGGCUCAUGACUGCAUCCUGUCGAUUUUAACCUCCAGGAUAUUCCCAAACUACCCACUCUUCUGUAUCCCACCCCGGGGACCCAACACGCCAUCGUUUCUUCCCUGGGAAAAUGCAGCACAUUCCACUGGAGUCCCACCUUCCACUCCCGCCCCAGCUCUCUGUUUCCCACACAAUGGCUAAAGGGGUCUGGAUAAAGCAUCACCCUCUUGCUUAAAACCCUUCAUCGACCACCAUGCUCUUAGGACGGUUAAGCCCCUCCCCUGUGUGAGCUGGAUCCUGCCACCUCUCCAUCCUCAUCUAGCACUACUCGGGUCUUAGGACCUCAUUCUUAUCAAGAACCUCCCACGUGGGCGUAUAGUCUAGCUGUUCCUCUGCUUGAGUUGUUGUCUCACCUCCCUCCGUUAGGUGUACCGGUCAGGAUGGGCUAAGCGAUGCUGCCUUAACAAACACGCCUGCCACAUCUCCAUGGCUGAACCCAACAAAGGAUCGUCUCUCACUCCCACUGCACGUUCCUCACGGGGAGCGCGGGGUGGGGCUUCUGCUGUGCUUCUGACUUCUGUGCUGGGUAUUCAGCAAGAUCUGAAAUAUUGCUGACGACCAUGAUCAGAAGGAAAAGAGAGAUCGUGCACCAGGUGCCGACUCUGAGGUCUUCUCCACUCACCUUCUCUGGGUAAAGCAGUGGCCAUUCCUGGUCCGUGGGGGCAGGGCAGGACAGUGAUUCUCUGGCCCUGGAGGAAGGGAAGGAAGGAACUACACUCCCGAUGACCCUUCCCCUUCCCUCCCCCUUCGGAUUCCAGCUCAAGGAGGACUUGGUCCAGGAAGCUGCCCAGGACCUCUGAGCAAGUCCAGCCUCCAAUCCUGGUCGCUCCGGCUAUCAAAUCUCUCACCUUACAGCUCCUGCCACAGCUGGGCUCUCACUUUUGCUUGUGUCAUUGAUGGAGUGACUUCUCUCCUGCAACCUGAGCUCCAUGGGGAUGGGUUAUGGUGGCCCCAGUGUAAAAAGCCCCCAUUUCCCCUCCACUUGCUUGCCGUGUCUCUCCUGUGUAUUCGCCUUGCUCUUUCCUUGGUGCUGUCAUUGUACAAGAUCUUAAAGAGCUCGGCACCGUCCUGUGAGUGGGGGUGCGGUCUAUACAGAGGGGUGUUGUUUAGCAUUGAAAGAACUGAGCCACAGGCCACAGGAAGAUACAGGGGACUUUAAAGGCGUAUCGCCUAUCGACAGGGAAGCCCUGCAAUAAGGCAUCCAAAUAUAUGGCGCCCUGGACAAGGCAAAAUGGUGAGAUAGUGGACACGUCGCCGUGGUGACCAUGGUGGGCCCAGGGCUCUGGGUGGGAGCCAACAGGAGAGCCACAGGGAAACUUUUAAGGCCCUAAAACUCUUCUCUGGGGUGCAGCGUGGGAGAAAGUAGAUAUGAUGCAAAGUCUAAGUGACGGUGGGCAUGAUUGGCGGCUGGAAGACCUGGGCAGAAGGAACGGGGCCUGAGAGCUGUACCCUGUCGGAUCAGUCCGUUCCCCACAAGAGCCCGGGCUGGCCUUCUGAAGCCACCGCACGCGCACACCAGGAUGGAACGUGUGAGGGGACAGAGAGCCGAUGGGAAGCAGGAUUCUCACUGUUGGAGGAAAAGAUUUCAGAGGGGCCAGGGGAGGAGGCUGGAAGGGCCCAGGUAGUCGUGGACUUGACGGGGGACAUCAGCAAGGACUCAGGAUCCGCUUAAUGGAUGUCCAGAUGGUGCCGUGAGUUGGAUCAUUGCUUGCCUAGAUUGUGGGUGGGCUCGGGUCUCAACACUGCAAAAAAAUAGGUGAGAAGAUAGAUAGAUAGACGGGAUGGAUAGAUAGAAUAGAUAGAUAGGAUAGAUAGAAUGGAUUAUCUAUCCAUUCUAUAGAUAGAUAGGAUGGAUGGAUAGAUAGAUAGAUGGAUAGAUAGAUAGAUAGAUAGAUACAUAGAUAGGAUGUAUAGAUAGAAAGAAUGGAUAGAUAGAUAGAUAGAUGGAUAGACAGAUACACACAUACAAAAAUACACAGAGAGGUGUGUCCACGGAAGAGCUGGGGUGCACACGUACAUUUCCUUGCUUUGACAGUCAGAAGGACACGGGCUAGCAAAGAGCCCUCUUGUUGGUUUGACACCAUUCCCAUAAAAAAGACCACGAUUCCUCCGAGAAAAGGCUCCUUCUCAUUUGGGGAAAGAAAUAGAAAUUCUGAUCCGGGAACAUCUUGGUGCGUCAGAACGUAAUCAAGUGCUCAGAAAAAGAAGAAAAAAAUCGCCCUCUCCGCCACGGGAACACGAUCGAGGGACGGAGGGACUCGGGAUCCAAAUGGAAGAGCUUUCAGGGACCAAACCUGGAACCGUUUGAGCAAGAAGGUUCGUGCCGUAGAGAUGCACGUGACCCACGUUGUGGAGUUCGUAUCCUCGAGCCCCUGGUGACGCGAGGAGACGAUGGUGGAAUCGACAAGUGAGCGGGAGGAUAAGACAUUGCCCCGCAGAAUUCCCACAAACCCCCGGCCACUCUGCACCCCGAGUUCUGCAGAGGGGCCCCGUGGUGCCUUCUUUUCAGAGAAGAGUCUGGAAAGAAGAAGAAAGAGCAGCCUCUCCGUGGAGCCGUGUCUCAGCCAGAGGGUCAGGACUGGCAGCCGGUGUCAGGCUCAUGAUGUCCCUGGGUGAGAUGGGAGGUGACGGGAAGUGCAUUUGUCCUCCAUGGGCUUCUCCCGGACCCAGAGCUCCAGUGUGGUCAUGAGAAAAACAUCAGACACACCCAAUAAAGGGGCAGCUUCCCGGAUCCCUGGGCCCCUGCUCCACUCCUCAAAACUGUCAAGGAAGCCAAAGACCAGGGACGUCGGAGAAGCCAACCUGAGGGGCCCAGAGGGCACAGGCGACGUGGACCCUGGAGAAGGUCCCAGGACAGAUAAAGGACGUGGGGUAAAAACCAAGGAAUCUCAAUCCAGUCUGGAGCCUUCACUAAUAAUAAUAGUAAUAACAAGAAUAGCAAUAACAUAUCGCUCUUGGUCCAUGCAUGUGACCACCGUGCCAUACUAACAUACAAUGUCCCUAACAGGGGACCUGGGCUGGGGUUCGUUGGUAUCUCUCUGUUCUGCCUUCCCAGUUUUUUUUUUUCUGUCUAGAUGCCCCAAUUUUCUAAGAAUCAAACAUUUGUUUUUUAAAAGAUAAAGAGAACAGACGUGCCGACGUGUACCCACCGAGGACUCAAUCGGGACAGCACCGUCUGUCCCAACGCUCCUCCUGGGGAAGAGAGAACCCCUCCGUCCCCGAGCGUCCCUCUGACUGGAAGAUCCCAUUUAUAUAAAACUGAGAAAAUGCGAACUCGUCCACAUGACGGAAAGACUCGCUGCCUCCUCACAGAGCAGGCAGAGGUGGGGGAGCCCUGGGCUAGGGACGCCUGGUUCCCUUCUCCCACCGCCCAGAGCUCAGCCGGCCACAGGCCAUUGUGGAUCCCGACCGUGCUGCCUGGGUGGCUGGCCACUCCUCGGUGGACACAUCUUCAGAGUCUUCUUUGACACAUCUCUGGGUUCUGCAGCGGAUCGUCCUCUGACCGGUGGUCUUCAUUUCUGGAGGUAAGCCCAGGUGAGGGACUCCAGCCUGUGCCCCGAGGAUGCCCACGCGUCCCUGUUUGAAGUCUGUGAGCAUCACGAACCCAGGAAGUGAUCGCCACUAUGUUCCCAGCAUCUAGUAGGUGCUCAGUCGUUGUUUGUUGAAUGAAUAAUGAACAUGCCGUCUCUCCAUGUAUCAAAGCGCUGUCUGGUCCUGACAGCUCUGCUUGUGUGCGGUCACCUCCCUGCUGCAGGCCCACCCACCCACCUCCAAGGAUGCUUUAAUGAGGAGCUCCACCUCCGCUCCUUUUUAUUUUUUAUUUUGAGGUGAGGUUGCCCAUGCUGGACUCAAACUUCCCAUCCUCCUGCCUCAGCCUCCCAAGUGCUGGAUGACAGGGGUGCACCACUGUGCCCAGCUCCUACUUUCUAUUUUGUUCACCCCGCCCCCACAGAGCCGCCAAUGACCUUUGAAAACCGCAAGCAGACUGAGCAAAUCCGACAACCCCCAACCAGCCAGUGGAUUCCGUCACUCUCAGAACGAAAGAGCCUUUCCUGGUCCGGCCACUUCUCACCCUCACCCCACAUCCCUCCACGCUGCCCGUCUCCAGGGCUCCCCCUGUCUCCCUCACUCCAUCCGACCUGAGCCUCUUGCUGCUCCUCAAAUGCCCCCAGCAUGUUCCCUUGGUCCACUGCCUGGAGCUCCCUCCCCAGGGACCUCCUGCUCCACGCUCCCUCCCUCCCCGCCAAGGCUCUCCUAUGGUUUCCUUCCUCGCUGAAACCCUCUUCCACACAUCAGUACAAUUUUGAUGUCAUAUUCUUUAAAAAUAAAAACUGAUACAAAAAGUC